rnacentral:lncRNA from 13 species
GGCGGAGGGCGGGAAGGCUGAAGGGCGGUGACAGGUCGCACCGCCUCGCGAGGGUCAGAACUCCCAUUUCUGCAAAGGGAUGCUGGUAUCCAGCUGAGAAGUUUAUGGAGCACCUAUCAUGUGCCAGGCACUGUGCUCAGUGCUAGCGAGAAAUUGGUGAGUAAAACAGAAAAAAAAAAAGAAAAGAAAAGACUGCCAGCAUUGAACUUGGAACCUAGAGAAGUAGAUGGACAUAAAUUAUCCUGGCAAGUAAAUGAGGAGUUGCAGCUGUGAUAAGGGCUACGAAGAAUAGGUGCAUCCAUGAUGACAUAACAUGACCCAGUCUGGGGUGGAGAAUCGGGAAUGAUUCCAGCUGGAAUAUGGCAGGUGAGAGUUAACUGUAGCACUGAGUUUGCAGAGGCAGGAUGACCUGCCCCAGGCAGGUGCCCCAGAAUGAGAAGAUGUUGGUGCUGGUGGAAUGUCAGCUUUAAAGCGGUGGAUUUAGGGCCACAUUCCUCAAGGCCAUAGUAAACAGGAAAGACCUUUUUGGACUACUGUCUUUGGAGUAGUCACUUGAGACCAAGACUUCAAUAGGGCUGAAAGAGAAUCUCAUCAUAGGUUGAAUGGGAGCAGAGCAUUAGCUGUAACUCCAACGUAUUAUAGUAAAAGGGGACACAUUGAUUAGAAUAAUUAUAUCUCUCCAUGUGUAAGGUCUUGUUCAGUUUACCCAGGGCUUAAAAAUAGGUCAACUCUUCACAACUAUCUUUAUUGCAAGCCACACUCAUCCUGUGCUGUUCCUGAACCUGUGAUGCACUUUCAUCCUUUCAUGUCUCUACACAUCCUUCCUGAGCCCCAUAGAGGCCCUGCCCCUUAAGGUUUUCAGCUGGAUUCCUAUUAGCUAGUUAUUUUAUUUCAGGUACAGAGAGUUAACUUAGCUCCUCCAUUUUCAGUACAUUGUCAUAUCAGUCCCUACAAGGUCCUUGUUUUAAAUUAUUUUAUAUUGUUUAUAUGAUUUUUUUCCUCAUCUUUCUCAAUUCCCACUCUCAUUCUUACAGAUGCAAACUGCAGUAUGUUUGAUAUAGAUCCUUGAUAAUUUAAGACAGG